UCCCUGGAGGACUAGUGGUUAGGCCUCAGCACUCUUACCGUUGCGGCCAGGGUUUGAUUCCCUGCCAGGGAA